GGGUUUAUAGCUCAGUUGGUUAGAGCGCAUCCCUGAUAAGGAUGAGGUCGGAGGUUCAAGUCCUCCUAAACCCA
rnacentral:tRNA from 1 species